GCAUAUCAAUAAGCGGAGGAAAAGAAACCAACAGGGAUUGCCCUAGUAACGGCGAGUGAAGCGGCAACAGCCCAAAUUUGAAAUCUGACCCCCUGGGGUCCGAGUUGUAAUUUGGAGAGGAUGCCUCGGUGGAGGCCCCGGCCGAAGUGCCUUUGAACGGGCCGUCAGAGAGGGUGAGAACCCCGUCCGCGGUCGCCGGCCCCCACCGUGUGAGGCUCCUUCGACGAGUCGAGUUGUUUGGGAAUGCAGCUCUAAAUGGGAGGUAAAUUCCUUCCAAGGCUAAAUAUCCGCCAGAGACCGAUAGCGCACAAGUAGAGUGAUCGAAAGGUGAAAAGCACUUUGAAAAGAGGGUGAAACAGCACGUGAAAUUGUUGAAAGGGAAGCGCUUGCAACCAGAGUCGUCCGCGGGGGCUCCACCGACCCUCGGGCCCGGUGUACUCCCCCGCGGUCGAGCCAGCAUCAGCUCGGCCGGUCGGAUAAAGGCCGUGGGAAUGUGACACCCUCGGGUGUGUUAUAGCCCGCGGCACAAUACGGCCUGGCCGGGCUGAGGUCAGCGCCUUUGGCACGGAUGCUGGCGUAAUGGUUGUCAGCGGCCCGUCUUGAAACACGGACCAAGGAGUCUAACAUCUAUGCGAGUGUUCGGGUGUCAAACCCGUGAGCGGAAUGAAAGUGAACGGAGGUGGGAGCCCUCGGGCGCACCAUCGACCGAUCCGGAUGUCUUCGGAUGGAUUUGAGUAUGAGCAUAGCUGUUGGGACCCGAAAGAUGGUGAACUAUGCGUGAAUAGGGUGAAGCCAGAGGAAACUCUGGUGGAGGCUCGCAGCGGUUCUGACGUGCAAAUCGAUCGUCAAAUUUGCGCAUAGGGGCGAAAGACUUAUCGAACCAUCUAGUAGCUGGUUCCUGC
rnacentral:rRNA from 1 species